ACGGAAGUCUGAACCAGCCAUGCCGCGUGAAGGAUGAAGGCGUUCUGCGUUGUAAACUUCUUUUAUCUGGGAAGAAACCACAGAUUUCUAUUUGUGUUGACGGUACCAGAGGAAUAAGCACCGGCUAACUCCGUGCCAGCAGCCGCGGUAAUACGGAGGGUGCAAGCGUUACUCGGAAUCACUGGGCGUAAAGAGCACGUAGGCGGCCUUGCAAGUCAGAUGUGAAAUCCAACGGCUUAACCGUUGAACUGCAUUUGAAACUGCAAGGCUAGAGUAUGGGAGAGGUAGGUGGAAUUCUCGGUGUAGGGGUAAAAUCCGUAGAGAUCGAGAGGAAUACUCAUUGCGAAGGCGACCUGCUGGAACAUUACUGACGCUGAGGUGCGAAAGCGUGGGGAGCAAACA
rnacentral:rRNA from 1 species